rnacentral:rRNA from 1 species
GAUGAACGCUGGCGGCGUGCCUAACACAUGCAAGUCGAACGGAGUUUAGAUGAAACCUAGUGAUUCUAAACUUAGUGGCGGACGGGUGAGUAACGCGUGGGUAACCCUGCCCUAUAGAGUGGGAUAGCAGUUAGAAAUGACUGAUAAUACCACAUAAGACCACAGUACGGCAUCGUACAGGGGUCAAAGAUUUAUCGCUAUAGGAUGGACCCGCGUCUGAUUAGCUGGUUGGUGAGGUAAAAGCCCACCAAGGCGACGAUCAGUAGCUGGUCUGAGAGGAUGAACAGCCACAAUGGAACUGAGAUACGGUUCAUACUCC